GAUGAACGCUGGCGGCGUGCCUAAUACAUGCAAGUCGAGCGAACGGACGAGGAGCUUGCUGCUCUGACGUUAGCGGCGGACGGGUGAGUAACACGUGGAUAACCUACCUAUAAGACUGGGAUAACUUCGGGAAACCGGAGCUAAUACCGGAUGAUAUCUUGAACCGCAUGGUUCAAUAGUGAAAGACGGUCUUGCUGUCACUUAUAGAUGGAUCCGCGCUGCAUUAGAUAGUUGGUAAGGUAACGGCUUACCAAGGCAACGAUGCGUAGCCGACCUGAGAGGGUGAUCGGCCACACGGGAACGGAGACACGGUCCAGACGCCUACGGGAGGCAGCAGUAGGGAACCUUCCGCAAUGGGCGAAAGCAUGACGGAGCAACGCCGCGUGAGUGAUGAAGGUCUUCGGAUCGUAAAACUCUGUUAUUAGGGAAGAACAUAUGUGUAAGUAACUGUGCACAUCUUGACGGUACCUAAUCAGAAAGCCACGGCUAACUACGUG
rnacentral:rRNA from 1 species